rfam:Ovis aries breed Texel chromosome 7, whole genome shotgun sequence.
AAAACAAGACCCUUUGGAGCUUUAAUUAACUAACUCCCGAGAAAACUAACUAAACCACUAAGGGAUAACAAAUUUUUAUAUGGGUUGACAUUUUUGGUUGGAGUGUCCUCAGAGAAUAAAAAUAUCUCCAAAUGACUAAAGUCUAGACUUACUAGUCAAAAUAUUAUUCCUUAUUGAUCCAAAAACUGAUCAACAGAACAAGCUACCCUAGGAAUAACAGUGCAAUCCUAUUCUAGAGUUCAUAUUGACAAAAGGUCUAUGACCUCAAUGUUGGAUCAGGACACCCCAAUGGUGUAACUGCUAUUAAAAAUGUGUUUGUUCAACAAUUAAAGUCCUACAUGAUCUGAGUUCAGACCAGAGUAAUCAAGGUUGUUUUCUAU